GAUGAACGCUGGCGGCGUGCCUAAUACAUGCAAGUCGAGCGAACUUUUGGGAGCUUGCUCCCAAAAGUUAGCGGCGGACGGGUGAGUAACACGUGGGUAACCUGCCUGUAAGACUGGGAUAACUUCGGGAAACCGGAGCUAAUACCGGAUAACAUUGAAGACCACAUGGCCAUCAAUUAAAAGGUGGCUUUUAGCUACCACUUACAGAUGGACCCGCGGCGCAUUAGCUAGUUGGUGAGGUAACGGCUCACCAAGGCGACGAUGCGUAGCCGACCUGAGAGGGUGAUCGGCCACACUGGGACUGAGACACGGCCCAGACUCCUACGGGAGGCAGCAGUAGGGAAUCUUCCGCAAUGGACGAAAGUCUGACGGAGCAACGCCGCGUGAGCGAAGAAGGCCUUCGGGUCGUAAAGCUCUGUUGUUAGGGAAGAACAAGUAUCGUUCGAAUAGGGCGGUACCUUGACGGUACCUAACCAGAAAGCCACGGCUAACUACGUG
rnacentral:rRNA from 1 species